ensembl:vault_RNA Vault Vault RNA
GCGCUAGUUUAGCCAAGUGGUUACUUCUACUCGAAAACUCUACCCUAUGAUCCGCGGGUUGUAGGGUUCGAACCACCGGCGAUGUCUAGCGUUUUG